AGUGAACGCUGGCGGCAGGCCUAAUACAUGCAAGUCGAACGGCAGCACAGCAGAGCUUGCUCUGUGGGUGGCGAGUGGCGGACGGGUGAGGAAUACAUGGGAAUCUGCCCAGUCGUGGGGGAUAACGUAUGGAAACGUACGCUAAUACCGCAUGCGCCCUAAGGGGGAAAGCCGGGGACCGCAAGGCCUGGCGCGAUUGGAUGAGCCCAUGUUCGAUUAGCUAGUUGGCGGGGUAAAGGCCCACCAAGGCGACGAUCGAUAGCUGGUCUGAGAGGAUGAUCAGCCACACUGGAACUGAGACACGGUCCAGACUCCUACGGGAGGCAGCAGUAGGGAAUAUUGGACAAUGGGGGCAACCCUGAUCCAGCCAUGCCGCGUAAGUGAAGAAGGCCCUCGGGUUGUAAAGCUCUUUUGUCCGGAAGAAAAGCAAUCGGUUAAUACCCGGUUGUUCUGACGGUACCGGAAGAAUAAGCACCGGCUAACUUCGUGCCAGC
rnacentral:rRNA from 1 species